UUAGUCAAGUCUGUCGUUAAAGCUCGGGGCUUAACUCCGAAAAGGCGGUGGAAACUGGCUGACUAGAGUACGGCAGGGGUAGAGGGAAUUCUCAGUGUAGCGGUGAAAUGCGUAGAUAUUGGGAAGAACACCAGUGGCGAAAGCGCUCUACUGGACCUGUACUGACACUCAGGGACGAAAGCUAGGGGAGCAAAAGGGAUUAGAUACCCCUGUUAGUCUUAUCUGUAAACGAUGGAUACUAGGCGUUGCUUGUAUCGACCCAAGCAGUGCCGAAGCUAACGCGUUAAGUAUCCCGCCUGGGGAGUACGCACGCAAGUGUGAAACUCAAAGGAAUUGACGGGGGCCCGCACAAGCGGUGGAGUAUGUGGUUUAAUUCGAUGCAACGCGAAGAACCUUACCAGGGCUUGACAUGUCGCGAAUCGGGGGGAAACUUUCGAGUGCCGUAAGGAGCGCGAACAACAGGUGGUGCAUGGCUGUCGUCAGCUCGUGUCGUGAGAUGUUGGGUUAAGUCCCGCAACGAGCGCAACCCUCGUUCUUAGUUGCCAGCAUUAAGUUGGGGACUCUAAGGAGACUGCCGGUGACAAGCCGGAGGAAGGUGGGGAUGACGUCAACGUCAGCAUGCCCCUUACGCCCUGGGCAACACAGCGUACUACAAUGGUCGGGACAAAGGGCAGCAAGCACGCGAGUGUAAGCGAAUCUCAUC
rnacentral:rRNA from 1 species